CAGGCACUCGACGUUGUUUCAACGUUGAAACAACGUUGAAAAAUGGUCGUGACGUUGUUCAACCAAUAUUCAACUAUGGACGGACAUACGGAUAUAUUGCCAAUGUAUAUACGACGUUGAUUCAACGUUGUUUAUGGUCGAAGUUUUACAUUUAGUUUAAUCAUUAUAUAAACCUUUAUACCACUAAUUUUGUGUUAUUUAAUAUUCCUUUAUUGAAUAAGUCUGUAAGUGAUUUUGUCAGGAAAAUUUGCGUUAAUUACAAUCUUUUUCCGUAUAUUCAAAAUUAGCGCUUAAACAAAUAAAGUUGGAAAUAAUUUUUCACUUUAUAUUAACGCUUUAAAUGUUAGUUAAUAUGUUUUGUUGUUUGUUGUUUUAUUUUUUAGUUCUUUAUGAAUAAUAUUAAUUAAUAAAUUGAUAUUAGUCAAAACCCCGUUUAUAAAAUAACGCUGGUCAGGGGAAGUAAUUAUUGCGGUCUAUGAUCUUGUUUGUUGGUCUAUGAUUAUCGUUCGUGCAAAUGGUGGCGCUGUUUGGAAAAUUUGAAAACAACACGAUUGGCAAUUUAUUUGGAUUUCGAAGAUCCUGGUCCUGGCUGAAAUUUAGAGUAUUGCAGCUGUAGUCUGUAUACCAUACACUCAACAUGAAAAGGACUGUCAGGAUGCUGCAUAGAAUGGUCUUAGCUAGAGCCUAGAAUGUUAAUUUUUUGGGAAUAUGCUGCAAGCUACUGACGGGGAGCAGUUUUUCUUACCAAUCAUAGAAGCAGUAAUAGACAGCCAAAGAAGUACUCAAACACCUGACAUACCCAGAAAGAUCUAGAAGAAAAGAUGGGCACAGAUUGUAGCUUAAUUGUAAAACUAUUAAAGUGAAUUUAAGCUGCACUUGAACUGUAUUUUUUAAAUAAAAUAUCUGAAGUAUUUAAUAUUGUCUUGAUAUUAUGUUAAACUCGGUAACUUUGCUUUAUAUCCAAAAAUUAAAGUAUGGUGGGUUUUCAACGUUGAAAUGACAUUGAAACGUCAACGUUGUACCAACGUUGAAGCUGCAACGUUGUAUCAACGUUGAAAUUUCAACGUUGUUUCAACUUUCAAAUCCGAAUAUAAAUCCAACCUUAUUUCAACGUUGAAAUCUGACCAUAAUUCAACGUUGAAACAACGUUGAUGUGCCUGCUGGGUUAUU